rnacentral:RNase_P_RNA from 1 species
AGUAGACUGGACAGUUGCGGACAUAAUACCUAAAGGUAAUGCCCGAGGAAAGUCCGAGCUCCAAAGGGCAGGAUAACGGCUAACGGCCGCCGGGGGUGACCCUAGGGAAAGUGCAACAGAAAUAUACCGCCGCAAAAAGUAUUGCGGUAAGGGUGGAAAGGCGAGGUAAGAGCUCACCGGCGUAUAGGAGACUAUACGACCCUGUAAACCCUAUCCGGAGCAACACCGUAUAAAGAUAUUUAACGUUUGCCCGACGUGUCUAUAGGUGGCAUUGAGCUGAAAUGGCAACAUUCAGCCAAGAUAGAUAACUGUUCACGACAGAACUCGGCUUAUAGGUCUACUCA